AUACCCUAUUAUUUUUAAUGUAAAAUUGAUUUAUAAGCCGGAGUAAUAUUAAUAUAUUAUCUUGAAACUUAAAGAAUUUGGCGGUAUUACAAUCUGUUUAGAGGAAUCUGUUAUGUAAUCGAUAAUCCACGUUGAACCUUACUUAUAUAAAUUCUUGUAUAUCGCUGUUUAUAAACAUAUUAGAAAAUAAUAUUUAAAUUAAAGUAUUAAUUAAGAUUUCAAGUCAAGGUGCAGUAAUAUAUAAGUUGAAUAAUGGAUUACAAUAAAUUUAAUUUAAAUGGAUAAUUUUUUGUAAAAGGAUUUGAAGGUGGAUUUAUUUGUAAUUUUUUAAAGAUUAUUUAAAUGAUCUUAGCUCUGUAAUAUGUACACAUCGCCC
rnacentral:rRNA from 1 species